rnacentral:rRNA from 1 species
GGCUAACGCUGGCGGCGUGUCUUAGCCAUGCAAGUCGAGCGGACUUAUGGGGUAACUUAUAAGUCAGCGGCGGACGGCGGAGUAACACGUAGCUAACCUACCCUCUGGACGGGGAUAACCUACCGAAAGGUGGGCUAAUACCCGAUGUAGUCAUCCUGUAUAGGGGUGAUGAAAGGUGGGCUUCUGUUUACAAGCUCAUGCUGGAGGAGGGGGCUGCGGCCUAUCAGGUAGUUGGUAGGGUAAUAGCCUACCAAGCCGAUGACGGGUAGCCGGCCUGAGAGGGUGACCGGCCCGAGGGGCACUGAGAUACGGGUCCCACUCCUACGGGAGGCAGCAGGCUAGAAAUUUGGGCAAUGGGGGAAACCCUGACCCAGUGACGCCGCGUGCAGGAAGGAGCCCUUCGGGGUGUAAACUGCUGUCGUGUAGGGAGAAGGGUACUAAGGUGAACAAUCUUAGUACUUGACGGUACUACAGGGAGGACGACCGACGACCUACCGUGUCGACGCGCGACGCCGGGUAAUGCUACGUAGA